AAAGGCUGAGCCUUGCCAUUCCUCUCAGUUGGCAUCAACAGGUUGGUCUCAGCAUUUUACUAAAUGCCAAAAAGAGAGAAAAUAUUGACAGGGCACUGUUUGCUGGGCAAAGCUCUCCUGAGGGAUUAUCCUGGCAGACAAGUUUGUUUCUUGCAGACAAAAGCAGUGCAACAGAUUCCUGUGUGAUCCUCCAGCCAAUCCAGGCAAAGAUCUUUGAAAGCUUCCAAAAAGGCAAAAGCAAGGCAGAGUUGGGAUGUGCAGCCCCUGAUUCUGUUAGUGGGCAAUAUGUGAGUAGAUCUAUUGAGUCCAGGGGAACCAGAGACACCCACACUGUGGACCCAGAGCAGUAAAUACUGGAAUAUCAGCCUCAGAGCCUGCACAAUCAGCAAGAUUAGAAAAACAAACCAAUGGAGUACUAUCUGCUGACCUUUGGUCUCAUUUCAAUUAAGCAACCUUCCAAGUGCAGGGGGCAAGCUCCUUUAUGAGCAGGAAGAUGAGCAGUGACAGGAAAGCCCAGGGAUGGAGCUGGAGUAAUGCUGGUGGAUCUGCCCUGUGUGUGUCAGCGUUUCUAGGUGAUUACUUGGAGCUAACAAAUAAUUAAGAUGGCUGUAAUUAAUACAGUGGGAUAACUGUGAGGUCAUAACUGCUCUGCCACAUCAGGUCACACCAAUCCAAAACCUUCAUUGCUUUAUAACCUUUACAGCUGAUGCUUCACUGCUUUGCUCAUCAUCUGUGGAAGGAGCAGCAUUUUAGGAGAGCUUGGAAGUACCUUCUGAAAUGCAAAAUGAACAUGAGACCACACCGGGGCUUUGUGGAACAGCUCUCAGCCUGGGAGACCCAAAUCUACGGGUGCCCAGUCACAGACGUCUCUGAACCAAAUUACUGACAGAGAACAUCCCAUGGGGAAAGCCACUUCCCUUCCCCUUUCUGGGGAGAAAGUUACUUGAACACUGUGUGAAAAAAAGACCCAAAUGCUAUGGAAAAGCUUUCCUCUUUAGCUCCAUGUCAUUUUGGGUCAGGAUUUGGAGCCUCCUGGGGAACUCACCUGUGCUGGAGGAGGUGGCAGUUUAGGGAAUGCAAGUCCUGCAGGACGUGGCCCAUUAGACACAGCUCGAGACUCUUUUGUAAGCAAAGAGGAUUAUAAAUACAGCUGUGGGGCAGUCAGUAGGGUUAUCUCUGUAAAGGUUUGUUAUCCAUGGUCUGGAAUAGUAAAUUUAAAGUCUCACAGUGCCCACUUCCAGCCUGGAGAGGUGACAACAGAAUUUCCCUGUUUCAGAAGUCCCUGUGCCCUGUGAGUGCCUUCUCAGCUACCCUGAACGGAUUGUUGACAAGUCCACCCUUCCCAUUUGCCACCUGCUAAUUCUACAACCCAACCUCAGCUGGUAAUUUUAAAGCCUCAGUGCUGUCACACGAAACCUAAACUCGGUACCGUCCUGUCUGUAAGAACAGCACUCGGGAUUCUGUUCUCUGACAUCAGGAAAUAAAACAUGACAGAAAACACCCCCUGGCUUUGCA
rnacentral:lncRNA from 1 species